CCCUUAGAUGUUCUGGGCCGCACGCGUGCUACACUGAGUAAAUCAAUGGGUAAGGGAACACGAAAGUGCAACCUAAUCUUGAAAUUUGCUCGUGAUGGGGAUUGACGGUUGCAAUUUUCCGUCGUGAACGAGGAAUACCUUGUAGGCGCGUGUCAUCAUCACGCGCCGAAUACGUCCCUGCCCUUUGUACACACCGCCCGUCGCUCCUACCGAUUGAGUGAUCCGGUGAGGCUCUGGGACCUGGACGGAAAGAGCGUUUCGCUUGUUCUGUUUGGGAAACUUGGUCGAACCUUAUCAUUUAGAGGAAGGAGAAGUCGUAACA
rnacentral:rRNA from 1 species